AACGAACGCUGGCGGCAUGCCUAACACAUGCAAGUCGAACGAGACCUCCGGGUCUUGGGGCGCUCGGGGGCGUAAGGCGUGGGAACUUGCCCUUAGGUUCGGUGUCACUGCCCGUGAGGUGUGUUCAGACAGGUGAAUGUCUUCGGACCAAAGAUUUAUCGCCUUUGGAUGGGCCCGGGUUGGAUUCGCCGGUUGGUAGGGUAAAAGCCUAUCAUGGCGACGAUGCAUAGCUGGUGUGAGAGGAUGCUCUGCCACACUGGGACUGAGACACGGCCCAGACUGCUACGGGGGGCAGGAGUGGGGAAUAUUGGACGAUGGGCGAAAGCCUGAUACAGCAGCGUCGGGUGAGUGAUGAAGGCCUUUGGGUUGUAAAGCUCUUUUAGCCGGGAUGAUAAUGACAGUACCGGGAGAAUAAGCUCCGGCUAACUCCGUG
rnacentral:rRNA from 1 species